ACUUAUCUAAACAAAGUAGUUAUUUACUGUGGUAAGAAAACAGCUAUAAGAAAGAGGGAAAAAAUAGAAAAGAAGGAAAUCUGGCAAGCAGUCGGGAUAGAGUUGCAGCAAGAGAUAGUCACCACCAUGGAUCCAGCAGCAUCCCGCUGGUCUGGAGUCUCCGUGUACUUUGGUGGGGGGGUUCCACUCGCCGUUGGAUCACACAGUCUUUUAUAGGGUCUUAGUGCAUUCCUGCGCAUGCUCUCAGUCCUGGCACGCUGCAUCAUCUAUACAAUCUUUACAACUGAGGUGUUAGGUUUAGGCCUGUUCUGCUAACAGGCAGGGUACACCACAAAAUGGCCACAAGCUACAGUUUAUUAAACAAGCACACUAAAGCACAUAAGCACACUAAUGCAAAUCAGGUAUAUUUCUCUCUAUAUAUAGUAAAUAAGUAGAAUAAAGCAAAUCAGAUAUAUACAUAUAAGCAAAGUACAGAGGAAAAUGAGCAAUGAAUCAAAUCAUUACUGCAUAGAGAGAACAGAGAUUAAGAAGAAGUACAUCACCAAUUUGGGUGACAUGGGUUAGUGUGUGGUGUCCCUGCCCAUGGCAGGGGGGGUGGAACUAGAUGAUCUUAAGGUCCUUUCCAACCCUAACUAUUCUAUCAUUCUAUGAUUCUAUAAAUCACCACCGAGUCAUCCUCCAGGCCCACACUUCAGCUGGGAAGCCCUGUUGCAGCCGAUGCCGGGAGUCUCAGGAUAUUGGGAAAGUUCCUACACGGUGCGUCCACCCAUAGGUGAGGCCUCGGAUUCGGCUACAAGAGGCUCCUGCUUUUGUACCCUUAGAAACACAACCAGCUUUAUGCCAGCUCUGUCACUGUUUACUCGUGGGGCCGUGCAGUUUCUCAUCAUCUCAGUGUUGGCUGUGCCGAGAGCGUUGGCCAGGCGCCCCGGCGUGCCCAAGUGGGAAGCUCAUAGAACAGCUGCACCCUCAUGUUUUCCUGCCUCUUUCUGACAAACAGUCACCAUGAACAUACACAUAUAUACUCUACCCAAUACACUGUGACACAAACAUCCUGUGUUAUGUCUCUCAGUCAUGAGAGGGAAUCAACUCUCAGCUAGGUUCCCAUCCGUUACACAGAGUCACAGCCAAAUCCAAGCAGAGUAGCUGUAUGCACGUAGAGGAAGCAGCAAAUGGAGAGAAGAAAAAUAAUGGAAAAGAAUAUUUUAUUUUCACAAAAUAAUGGAAAACAACAAAAAUUCUCUUCCUGAUGUAGACACUCAAGUUUGCUACUGCAAUUGAAAAUCAUCUGAACACAAACAAAACUCCCUUGGAGCCAAGACUCCCCAUUUUCUAAGAGCCUUCUGAGCUUUCACAAUGGCACACACAAUCCUGACUUCCACAGGAGGAACUCAAAGGUACACUUCUGUUUAGCUGGACAUUUGUGAUGGAGGAUCUGUGGGAGUACUGGGCUUGAAUAUCCCAUGAGGGAGGGAAUCUCUGCUUUUGUAACAUAGGGACACAGGGCUAUGACUUCAGUUUUCCAGAGAAAAAGAAUGUUGUGCUUUGAUUUGAUUAACCCUAGUGUGAUUGAUGGAAGAAGCCUUAGCGUCUCUAUUUCAGGCAGCUUGCUUUCACAAGUCACACAGUGUUUAUGGUGAAGAUUUCCUGUGCCACACGCCUGACAAAUUACUUUGCCCUUUUAAACAGAGAAAGAAUACAUUUCACUUAGUAUCUGAAAACUAUGAACAGCACUAAUAAGAAGAGGACUUGAUCUUACAAAGUGCUGUGGUUAUUCAGCCCUGCAGAUAGAAGAGAUCCUUCAAGUCUGUGCUGUGGGCUUCAGGUUUUAGUUAGGCCAUAGUGCCUGCUCAUCACAAAUCCAUGGAUCUUGGUGACAAUUCAUUUUAAAGUAUGGUACAGUUCCCUCAGGAGAUCCAGCAUCAAUACCUCCACAUGUUUGUAUAGACUAGUGUCAGUUUGCUUAGUCACUGCACUCACACAAAACAGAAAGUCCAAUUUAUUCUCAAUUACCUUUACGCAGAUGUUGGUUUGGGGCUGCAGCUGUGGAGCUAUUGGUGACUCACAUCCAAUGCAAGAGGGUGUAUUCACUGGCAGGAGGUGUCUGCAUUCAAGACAUGGUGCCAUCUG
ensembl:lncRNA